UACUUUCUUACUGACUGACUUAUUUGAAAGGCACAGGGGAGGGAUCUUCUAUCUGUGAUUCACUCCCCAAAUACCUGCAACAACCAGGGCUGGGCCAGGCAAAAGCCAAUAGCCAGAAAUUCCAGGGAUCGCAGGGACCUAACCACUUGGGCUAUCAUCCAUUGCCUUCCCAGGUGCGUUAGCAAGAAGCUGAAUGGGAAGCAGGGUAGCUAUGACUCCACCUAGCACUCUGAGAUGCCAGUGUUGCGUGCACCAGCUUAACCCACUGUGCCACAACACUGGCCCCUGCUUCCUAAACACCAAGAUGUUUGGAAAUCUUAACCCUGAAAUGACUGUUCACGCAGAUGUACUGUGCGCAAAUGCUGGAUUAUCGCUGCCGCUCUGGGUUUACUGAAGGUGGUUUGUGUAGCUAUGACAACGAGAUGGAGUCUAGAACUGUCAAUAUUCUUUACCUCCUCAUAGCACGUGUAACUGAGUCCCCACAGCCUAGUCAGUAUCUUAUCCUGACCUGCAGCUCCCUGGGAGAGCCGGGGUGGGAGUGGCCUCCGCACACCGCUGAAACCACAACAUCACAGCUGCCCACAGCCCCGAUUUCAGUGGGGGAAACAGGAAGAGCGUGCCGAGUUUACCAGGCAAGACUGGAGGAGAGCAAAGCCCCGGGAACCUGGAGGAUCUCUGGGGUCUUCCUGAAUGUUAAAGACUCUGUGCGCAAACCAAAGCCGUGGGCGCGCAGGGGCCGCAGUCAGUCCCCUGCCGCAGACCCGCGGGCCUGCGCAAACCCGAAGGGAAAGGUGGCCGGCCUCCCUCCCGCUUUCCCCUGGCGGACAUGCCAGGCCUGUCAGGCCAUCUCUGGUCCCUGACCGACCUCUAACUCAAGGUGAGCCAGCUUAGAACCGCAAGAACUUUAAAAACUCGAAGAGACAUCGAUGGCGGGCCGACAGAGGCUACAGUUAGUCCGAAAAAGCUGCCCAACAACACUUUAGGACCGCAAGUCCAGAGAAAUCAGAGUCCUAACAGGUCGCUCACAAUGGAACAUUGGCAGAAAAACUUAAGCCAUGGAACUGCUAAGUCUUCUACAGCACAACUACAUUAUGCUGUCCACGUUCCAAGGGCAAACCAAAUGAAUAUGAAACUGCUCUGAAAAUGAAAUAGUACCAGAACUCAGGAAAAUCGUUUAGUCGACUGUUUGCAGAACUGGUUGGUCAAGUCUGCUGCUCAAAAGAACUGGACCGUGGAGAAGGUGAGUGACGGCAUCAGCGGAUUUAGUUACUGAAGAACCAAAAGAACUCAUUAUGAAUUGACAAAUGGUAUGUUAAAUUGAAUGAGCAGCGUCUACUUAUAAAAGAUGGCAAUAUCGCAAAUACAGCCCAAUUAAGACGCUGUUCCGCCAAAGCUGCUCAGUGGAAUCAAUGCUAGAUGUUCGGUAUAAACUGUCUGCGGGCCCUGGAAUGCAUCUUUCCACCAACUUCGGCAAUCUGGCCUUGCAUCCAGGACUCACUCUGUCCCACUAUUUUUUUUUUUCUCCCUUGAAAAAAGUUUCCUGGGGUGAGCUAGGUUGCCUGCUUCCCACACUGAAGUGGCUGCUUCCUGGCUCUGGCUCCUGAUUCUGACUAGUGUGUGCCCUGAGCAGAUGCAGGGGGUGGCUCAAGUACUUAAGACCCUGGCACCCAUGUGGGAAACCCAAGAUGGAGUUCUGGGCUCCCGGCCUUAGCCUGGUCCGGCCUUAGCUGUGGUGGACAUUUAGGGAAAGAACCAGAAAAUGGGGUGUGUGUGUGUACAUGCGUGUGUGAGCACGUGUGCGCACCUGCCUGUGAAUUACAUGUAAAUUAAAAAAGAAAGUAGACUGUUCCCAAGUGCUGCUUUUCUCUUGUUUUACGGCAUGUCAACCCGACAGGCAGCUCGCUCGCUGGCGUAUCCAUUCCCCUUCACAACGAGACGUCAGUUACCUCAGGGCUCCAGGGACCUUAACUCCUGUCCUGUAAGAGUUAACACUCCCUGGGACGGCAGGAAGCAGCCCGGAUUAGGAGCUGAGGUGCUGGUCUGAGCUUUACCACUGUAAUUCCCUUACUGUCUAGGUACGACCGACACAUGGGAGGCUAAUUCCCUUGACCAUAGUCUGUGCACAGAGGGUGGGACUGGUGCUAGCCUGCUUGCCACGAAGUCCUACCCACUGCUCCGGAAGUCUCGUCAGUUCUAGAGAUUUCCCCUUUCCUUCGUAAACUGCCCGCCAUACACUGUGCUAACCCGGCUGUAGAAGCGGCCGGGCCUCAUACCCCAUUCCUAACAGUCUUUGGGGGUGGUGUGAGAGGGAGAGAAGGGAGAGAGAGAGGGGGGAGGAAGAAAGAGAGAGAGAGAGGAGAGACACAGA